GGUGAGUAACACGUGGAUAACCUACCUAUAAGACUGGGAUAACUUCGGGAAACCGGAGCUAAUACCGGAUAAUAGUUUUGAACCGCAUGGUUCAAAAGUGAAAGACGGUCUUGCUGUCACUUAUAGAUGGAUCCGCGCUGCAUUAGCUAGUUGGUAAGGUAACGGCUUACCAAGGCAACGAUGCAUAGCCGACCUGAGAGGGUGAUCGGCCACACUGGAACUGAGACACGGUCCAG
rnacentral:rRNA from 1 species